rnacentral:tRNA from 1 species
GCCCCGGUAGCUCAGCGGCAGAGCGUCCGUUCGACAUGCGGAAGGUCGCUGGUUCGACACCAGCUCGGGGCA